AUGGGUGAAGUGCCAGUGCUUUUGCAGGGGGCCCAUGACGCCGGGCACCGUUGCCACCUAUUUUUGAAACCAAAUACUAAGCAUGAUUAUCGGCCUUUCAGACUUCGAACCAUAAAGAAAACAUGGCCAAUACACAAUCAUUUCCUUGCUUACCUUGACGCUUAUGGACUACAAGGUUUUGCUAGGCUCACAUCAUGCGACGACCAAGUACGUUCGGACCCAUCCCUUUUGACAUCCCUCGUUGACCGGUGGAGACCUGAAACCCACACCUUUCACUUUCGUUUUGGGGAGCUUGCACCUACACUGAAAGAUGUUUCUAUGAUCACUGCUCUACCAAUUAGAGGUGAGCCGGUAGUCUCUCCACGAGUGUCUCCAUCUUGGGCAUUAGAUAUAGCAGCCCGUCUUGGGAUGGAAAUGCCAGAAUCACAACGUUCUGGUAACCCUCGGGGCAUCCCACUCGUCUGGCUUCGUGAUAACUUUCUUAAUUUAUCUAGCUUCGCCAAUGAGGAGACGAGAAAAAGACAUCUGUUUGCAUAUUUGUUGUGGCUCCUCGGGAAUCUAUUUCCAAAUUCACAUGGGGACGUUGUUGUCCCUGGUCUCAUCUACAUUGCAGAGAAUAUGGUAGAUGAACCUUUACCCGAGCAGCCAAAAUACAGCUUCGGUUCUGCCAUGCUAUCUCAUACAUACAGAGGCUUGUGUGAUGCCACGCAAAAAACCUCUUUCGCACAAAAAGCUCCAUUACUUUGUGUCGCCUAUGAGUUUCUACAGUUGUGGUCCUGGGAAUACCUCCCUGUAGGACGACCUCGUAUAGUACAACCCAUAUACCCAUAUGACUUUGGCGAGGGUGCUAGCGCAACUAUGGCCACCAGGUGGACAAAGGCACGGAAACGUUGGUCUCCAGAUAUUGCGAAAAAUUGUUACCCUAUGUACCACCAGCAGUUUGAGAUACUUGAUGAGGCAGAAGUCACAUGGAACCCGUGGACUCAGGACCAGCUAAAAUUGGUCUUUGAUGCUCGACACUUCACACCAGGCAUGUUGACCGAUAGUGCAUUCUGGCUGACUCGCUGCAACUUAUUGUUCCUGUGGUGUGUUGAACCUUACAACCCAGAGCGUGUAAUGAGACAGUUCGGUCUCUAUCAAGAAAUUCCACCACCUUUUCCCAGACGUAUCGAUGAGGAAACACAUAAGUAA
rnacentral:rRNA from 1 species